GUGUCAGCCGCCGCGGUAAGACGUAGGGCGCGAGCGUUGUCCGGAUUUAUUGGGCGUAAAGAGCUCGUAGGCGGCUUGUUGCGUCGACUGUGAAAACCCGCGGCUUAACUGCGGGCUUGCAGUUGAUACGGGCAGGCUAGAGUUCGGUAGGGGAGACUGGAAUUCCUGGUGUAGCGGUGAAAUGCGCAGAUAUCAGGAGGAACACCGGUGGCGAAGGCGGGUCUCUGGGCCGAUACUGACGCUGAGGAGCGAAAGCGUGGGGAGCGAACAGGAUUAGAAACCCUCGUAGUCC
rnacentral:rRNA from 1 species